UUGUUACAAUUCCUCAUCUCACAGAUAAUUCUUAUUACCACUCAAUCAACUCUAAUCCACUUAAUACUCACCAUUUUCAACCAUCAUAUUCAUAUCAACAAGUCUUGAAGCUUAGGGAACUAUUAAUAGGCAUAUACGCAAUUCAACUUAUAGCAAGGCCAAGGCUUGCAACUAAUAUCCUCAGACAAGAGAUAUAUUCACAAUACAUGAGUGCUAUGCAAGAUCAAUUUACAA
rnacentral:lncRNA from 1 species